GGAUUACCUUCCUUCUCCUCCAUUUCAUUUGAUCUUCAUCCCAUAUCCAGAUGAGUUACGAGUGACACAGCCGGCCAGUCGCUUUCUACAGUGUCAACUGCACUUGAAAUGCGCUGUCAUCCUGUUCAUUACUGUGCAUCAUCCUCAUCAUCCAUCACCAUCAGAAUCAUCCUCAUCAUCCUCAUCGUCAUCAUAAUCAUAGUCAUCACCAUGAUACCUCCAUUAAAACACAUCGAGUAUGGCCUGUUAAGGCUUAAAACGAUCUUUUGAGUUCGCUCGCGUCACGCUCCUGAAUCCAUUUACGCUCAGAAUUCCCAUCAAUAUACUAAUUUUCCGGCUCCAUGGGCCCAUUAUUCACAUUAUCUCAGGUAUAAAACACAGUCCUGCAUUAGGCAACUUGAGCAAACCUCGUCCUAAACUUAACACGCAUAUGGUUGAGCAUCGUCCAUGGAUCACAAACAACCGCUACCACUGGUUUCUUGACGCCUGGUCGCGUCUCUACACAGUUGAGAGCACCCCUAGGAAUUCGGGACACGUGCAUCAAGGGUGACCAACCGUCGGACGCACAUUAUCAAGCACUGGACAUGGUUUGACCAACAGACAACUCGAGUAAAUUUGUGGCAAUCUAAAAUCACUAACUAGUCACACAGAUGUUAUAUAACCCCUCGCUCACAAUUUAGGUUCCAUUGGGUAGUAAGGGACAAGGUUUUUGCGAUGUGCGGAAAAACACCGAAGAUAAAUAUUUUGAUAGGGUUGUCAUACAUUGAACCACCAGGAUCGUGAUCAAGAUUAACUAGAUAUUAGUUACGGACAAAGCCCUGAGAUAUCACUAAUUAAUGGAGUUUCAAUGAGGAUUACUCUUAGCAUUAAGUGAUGCAAAGAGUUGUUCCGGCGGAGAAUUAAAAACCAUGUUCAACCUUUUGAAUCCCGCGUUUCAACUGUAUGCUCGCAGGUGGAACUUGAGCGAUGGCUUAUAUAUGGGCUUCUCCACUGAGGACUAACUUCCCCAAGGAACGGAGGCUAGGCGGCAAAAAAGCGUUUAUGGUGAUAAUUUGACAUAAUAUUACUUAGGCUUGUUGAGGACCAAUCCGUCGUGACCAGGUUCUGAAAUCAUCAGCACUGGAAAUCGUGCAUCGAAGCUACGUGAGGGUUGAAUCUAGAGGGAAUUUAGAAGCCGCCAGUGCGGCGGAGAGAAAACCGGACACCACAAACUAAGCAGACAUAUCCUCUGCCAGCCUGGAAGGGACUUGAUGAGGCAGGCCCUAUUUUCCAUCAUCGGGAACGGUGGAGCCGGCAAUGUUUCUUUUUAGCCAGCAUUAUAUAUAUAUAUACAUUACGCAGACACAUCAAUUCUAUUUUCCAGCGCGC
rnacentral:sRNA from 1 species